CUGGAGCCCUUAUCAGGCAUGAGGUCACACAGACAGAGAGAGCCACAAGGGUAACAACUUUCAUGGCUCCAGUAAACACAGUAGCUCGGUGUUACCAGGAUAUUUCUCACUUGCUUGCCUUUAACUUGACCUAGGAUACAGAGCUAGAUUUGAAAUCUGAUGGCUGCAGAUGUGCAGAGCUGAAAGACUUCUUUUAUAAACCCACUGCAACCUUCA